AACGGCCAUACCAUGCUGAAUAUACCGGUUCUCGUUCGAUCACGGGCGUGGUCAGUACUUGGGAGGGUGACCACCUGGGAACACCGCGUGCCGUU